rnacentral:tRNA from 1 species
GCCUGGCUAGCUCAGUGGGGAGAACAUGGGACUGUGAAUCUCAGGGUCAUGAGUUCAAGCCCCACGUUGAGCA